rnacentral:tRNA from 1 species
GCCCUGAUAGUCUAGCGGUUAGGAUGCGGCCCUGUCGAGGCCGCGACUCGGGUUCGAUUCCCGGUCAGGGCG